rnacentral:rRNA from 1 species
UACGGGGGGGGCAAGCGUUAUCCGGAAUGAUUGGGCGUAAAGCGUCCGCAGGUGGCACCUCAAGUCUGCUGUCAAAGACCGGGGCUUAACCCCAGAAAGGCAGUGGAAACUGAAGUGCUAGAGUGCAGUAGGGGGUAGAGGGAAUUCCCGGUGUAGCGGUGAAAUGCGUAGAGAUCGGGAAGAACAUCGGUGGCGAAAGCGCUCUGCUGGACUGCAACUGCAGCUACAGGGAGCGAAAGGACUAAGGGGACGCGAAGUGGG